GCCGUGGCUCAAUGGCAGAACAUCUGCUCGGCUAGCAGAAGGUCCCAGGUUCAGUUCCUGGCACCGGCA
rnacentral:tRNA from 1 species